GAAGUACGAAAAUUCUAAAACUCACCCAAUACGACCUAUUGACAUCCCUGAUCAUGAAUCAACUUAAAAAUUGACACUUUAAGGUUGUAAGGAUUGGAAAUAAGAUCGUCCAAUUUCGAAGGCUAAAAUGCUUCUAAGUCUUAACACUUAGCUGAAUUUUUCUAAGUUUGGGACCCUUUAUUACAAGCUAUAUGGGACUGCUCUGAACAAGAACUUUUACGGGGUCUGACAAUAUCCC
rnacentral:lncRNA from 1 species